rnacentral:rRNA from 1 species
CCUACGGGAGGCUGCAGUAGGGAAUAUUGCUCAAUGGGGGCAACCCUGAAGCAGCAACGCCGCGUGGAGGAUGAAGGUUUUCGGAUUGUAAACUCCUUUUGUUAGAGAAGAUAAUGACGGUAUCUAACGAAUAAGCACCGGCUAACUCCGUGCCAGCAGCCGCGGUAAUACGGAGGGUGCACGCGUUACUCGGAAUCACUGGGCGGAAAGUGCGCGGAGGCGGGAUAGCAAGUCAGAUGUGAAAUCCUAUGGCUUAACCAUAGAACUGCAUUUGAUACUGUUAUUCUAGAGUAUGGGAGAGGUGGGUGGAAUUCUAGGUGUAGGGGUAAAAUGCGUAGAGAUCAGGAGGAAUACUCAUGGCGAAGGCGACCUGCUGGAACAUGACUGACGCUGAUGCGCGAAAGCGUGGGGAGCAAACAGGAUUAGAUACCCUUGUAGUC